CCUACGGGAGGCAGCAGUGGGGAAUUUUCCGCAAUGGGCGAAAGCCUGACGGAGCAAUGCCGCGUGGAGGUAGAAGGCCCACGGGUCGUGAACUUCGUUUUCUCGGAGAAGAAACAAUGACGGUAUCUGAGGAAUAAGCAUCGGCUAACUCUGUGCCAGCAGCCGCGGUAAU
rnacentral:rRNA from 1 species